rnacentral:ncRNA from 1 species
UGACCUCAAAAUAACAAGGGUCAAGGUCGGCCAGUGAGACGAUGGGGGAUAAAGCUUCAUCGUCGAGAGGGAAACAAUCCGGAUCACCAGCUAAGGCCCCUAAAUGACCGCUCAGUGAUAAAUGAGGUAGGGGUGUAGAGACAACCAGGAGGUUUGCCUAGAAGCAGCCACCCUUGAAAGAGUGCGUAAUAGCUCACUGAUCGAGUGCUCUUGCGCCGAAGAUGAACGGGGCUAAGCGAUCAGCCGAAGCUGUGGGAUGUCAAAUUGAAUUGGUAGGGGAGCGUUUCGCCUUAGAGGGAAGGACCUGCGCAAGCAGUGCUGGACGAAGCGGAAGCG